AUGAAUGGUUGGAUGAAGGAUUUACUUUCUUUAUUUUAAAAAUAAAAUUUGAUUUCUAAAUUAAAAAGUUUAGAUUUUAUUAGAGGACGAGAAGACCCUAUAGAACUUUAUAUCCCCCAAAAUAUUUAUUUACUUGUAAAUAAUUUUUAUUUAUUUUGGGGGGUAUUUUGUUGGGGUGACAAAAAAAAUUUUAUAACUUUUUUUACUUUUAUCAUUUGUUUAUGAUUUAUUGAUCCUUUAAUAGGGAAAUAAGAUUAAGUUACCUUAGGGAUAACAGCGUUAUUGUUUUGGAGAGUUCAUAUUGAUAAAAUAGUUUGCGACCUCGAUGUUGGAUUAAAAUUAGUCUUAGGGGCAGAAUACUAAUGACUAGGUC
rnacentral:rRNA from 1 species